CAAGACUUAAGAAGUCCCUUCAAGCUAAAGAGGAGCCUUGAAUCCUUAAAGGAUUACGAGGAAAAUUUUAAGAGAAAUUCGCUUCAAGAAUUGAUGAAAGCAUGAAGUGAAAGGGCGCGUUAGAAGAAGAAAGGGAUAAAUGUAAUAGAUGUAAUUGAAGGAUUUGACGGUUUUGUGAUUAGCCUUGCAUCUAGUCUUGAUAGGUUAGAUGUGGCGGUAGCACCCUAUAAGUGUUAGAAUUUGAAUUACGAAUUAUUUGAGACUUGAAUUAAAGUACAAUUUAUAAGAAAAUUUAUUUUUGGUAA